ANUUAGUGGGGAAUAACUGUUGGAAACGACAGCUAAUACCGCAUAAUAUUGCUGGAUAAUUUCCAGUAAUGAAAGGAGCUUUCAAGCUCCGCUGAUUGAUGAGGAUGCGGCGCAUUAGCUAGUUGGUAGGGUAAUGGCCUACCAAGGCAAUGAUGCGUAGCCGAUCUGAGAGGAUGAACGGCCACAUUGGGACUGAGACACGGCCCAAACUUCCACGGAAGGCAGCAGUAGGGAAUUUUUCACAAUGGGCGAAAGCCUGAUGGAGCAAUGCCGCGUGACUGAUGAAGGUCUUCGGAUUGUAAAGGUCUGUUGUAAGGGAAGAAAUGGUAAAACAGGAAAUGGUUUUAUCUAUGACGGUACCUUACCAGAAAGCCACGGCUAACUAUGUGCCAGCAGCCGCGGUAAUACAUAGGUGGCAAGCGUUAUCCGGAUUUAUUGGGCGUAAAGGGUGCGUAGACGGUUUUGCAAGUCUGAGGUUAAAUUUAGGAGCUCAACUCCUAAUCNCCUUGGAGACUAC
rnacentral:rRNA from 1 species